ensembl:lncRNA
CCCGUCUCGGGCAAAUAUGAUCCACCCCCACGGGAACAGGAGCACGGGAAGGUGCCCCGGAGGUCAGGAGAUACACGAGAGAACCGGAGCAGAGCAGACUGAAGAGGAAGCAGCCAGCAAGAUAACCCAGGGGAGUGUGAGGAGCCAUCCAGCUCACACAACCCCUGUGGUCUCACCAGCUCUGCUCUCAAGAACGGCUCAGCUGCAUGUUUGACAGCACCUGGCCAACAAUGAAGCCUUGACUCCUCUCCUCAUGAGAAAAAUGCUCUGCGUGCAGAGAAGUGGUGAAAAAGGAUCUUCCUGGUGCGCUUACCCUCUCCAUCUGCCGGGGCUGUGCCAGGCAGAGCUGCUGACAGAUGCAGGCAGUACCAAGCCCUUCUCCUGCACGGACUGGCUGCCCUUGGCUCUCACACCCACCGAAGCCAUUAGCAAUGAGCUCAACCUUCUAUUAUUGCUGAUCCAGGGAGUCUGGAGGCUCUCGGAAAUGCAGCAUCGAUUUGCGCCUCUCACGUGUUCCUCUCAGGGCUUCGGUUUCAGGAAAUAUCUUUGCCUCUCCUCUCUCCUUCACAGUCUCCAGGAGUGAUCUUCCAGAGGGACGCUGGAGCUGGGAGCUAAGGGAAAAACAGCUAGGAGUUUAGUGAGAGGAAUGAGGGCUUAGCAAGGCCUCAGCUUUGGCUGCCUGUGUGCUUUAUUCAUCCUCCUCAUUGUGGGGAGGACACCUUCCCCCCAGACAGUCCGUGCCUUGCUAAGCCAGGAAAAGCCACAGUGGGAAUUUCAGGAAUGCAAAGCGAGCCACAAUCUCACAGGGAGAUGUGGUGUGGAUGAGGGGUGGGAAACACCUCACAUAGCAGCUUAACGGCAAGGACUGCUGGUCUCUGCUCAUCCAUGGCAUGGCCAUGUAAAGGCGAUGUGCCCAGGGCAAUGCCUUCUCCUCCUGGCAGAGCUGCCAGCAUGGCUUGUGCCGACCAGUAAACAGGAGACAGCGUUGCUGUGCAAACUCAGAUAAGGCUGUCUGUCUGCCAGGGAGUGUUCACUGCUGGUAAUGAUCAACUCAGCAGCAUCCUGGUACCCUUGAAAGAAAAUCCUGCUGAGGGCAGGGGCAGGCAGAGGGCAGAAGAGAUGCUUCUAAUUUUUAUUCUACCUGGGCAAGGAGGGCAGACGUGAUUUUUUCUUUUGUGUCACUGUAUGCACGUAAGAAGCCAAGGGCCCUAUUGUGUUGCAUCUUUUCUAUAGAAAUGGAUCACAAGACAGCCCCAACAUCAGUGUUAAAACCUUGCACAAGCAGCCAGGCAGCACCACGAGGACCAACAAGGCAGUCAAAAAAGAGCUACAGCCAAAACCACAUCACCUCCUCGAGUCUCCUUUCCUGGGUAGGAAAGGUUUGCUGCCCAGCCCAGCACCUUAUCAAACGGGCUGCCUCACUCCCCCCGCAUCCCCAGAAAGACUUUCAGGUCCCUGGGUACACUUCACAAAUGAGCCAUCACAAACGUGAGUGUUGGUGCCAGCUGCCAGAAGCAGAGAUCAAGCUCUCACCUACGUCCAUCAGCUCUGCCUGGGAAGCAGGCUUGCCUUUGACAACAGGCAGAUUAAGAAGCAGACAAACAAGUGCUUGGUGCCCUGAACAGGCAGGCUGUGCUGCUUGCAGCCAUUGGGAAGUGGAGAUGUCCAAGUGGUGAUGAAUUCAACCAUGGCACCACUGGACUCCUGCCCACCUGAGGGACGUGUCCUGGACAAAGCUGGUUUACCCUCAUCUCACCCUCUUGCAUUUCACACAGCAGCAUAUUACUGCAUGCAGGGGACAGGAUUGAGCUGACUCCUUGCACUUACUGCCCUUACAGCUAUGAGAGUCAGAGGAGAAAGAGGACAGAUCACCUUCCACUGCUAACACUGAAAAGUAGACACAAAACAAACCCAGCCUUCAUUGACAGCAUUUACUGCAGAAAUCAACACUUCCUAUACAUAAAAAAAUCAAUGGAA